rnacentral:rRNA from 1 species
UGGGUGGAUUAGUGGCGAACGGGUGAGUAACACGUGAGUAACCUGCCCCCGACUCUGGGAUAAGCCCGGGAAACUGGGUCUAAUACCGGAUAUUACCUUUGACCGCAUGGUUGUUGGUGGAAAGAUUUAUCGGUGGGGGAUGGACUCGCGGCCUAUCAGCUUGUUGGUGAGGUAAUGGCUCACCAAGGCGACGACGGGUAGCCGGCCUGAGAGGGUGACCGGCCACACUGGGACUGAGACACGGCCCAGACUCCUACGGGAGGCAGCAGUGGGGAAUAUUGCACAAUGGGCGAAAGCCUGAUGCAGCGACGCCGCGUGAGGGAUGACGGCCUUCGGGUUGUAAACCUCUUUCAGUAGGGAAGAAGCGAAAGUGACGGUACCUGCAGAAGAAGCGCCGGCUAACUACGUGCCAGCAGCCGCGGUAAUACGUAGGGCGCAAGCGUUAUCCGGAUUUAUUGGGCGUAAAGAGCUCGUAGGCGGUUUGUCGCGUCUGCCGUGAAAGUCCGAGGCUCAACCUCGGAUCUGCGGUGGGUACGGGCAGACUAGAGUGAUGUAGGGGAGACUGGAAUUCCUGGUGUAGCGGUGAAAUGCGCAGAUAUCAGGAGGAACACCGAUGGCGAAGGCAGGUCUCUGGGCAUUUACUGACGCUGAGGAGCGAAAGCAUGGGGAGCGAACAGGAUUAGAUACCCUGGUAGUCCAUGCCGUAAACGUUGGGCACUAGGUGUGGGGGACAUUCCACGUUUUCCGCGCCGUAGCUAACGCAUUAAGUGCCCCGCCUGGGGAGUACGGCCGCAAGGCUAAAACUCAAAGGAAUUGACGGGGGCCCGCACAAGCGGCGGAGCAUGCGGAUUAAUUCGAUGCAACGCGAAGAACCUUACCAAGGCUUGACAUGUGCCAGACCGCCUCAGAGAUGGGGUUUCCCUUCGGGGCUGGUUCACAGGUGGUGCAUGGUUGUCGUCAGCUCGUGUCGUGAGAUGUUGGGUUAAGUCCCGCAACGAGCGCAACCCUCGUUCCAUGUUGCCAGCACGUAGUGGUGGGGACUCAUGGGAGACUGCCGGGGUCAACUCGGAGGAAGGUGGGGAUGACGUCAAAUCAUCAUGCCCCUUAUGUCUUGGGCUUCACGCAUGCUACAAUGGCCGGUACAAUGGGUUGCGAUACUGUGAGGUGGAGCUAAUCCCUAAAAGCCGGUCUCAGUUCGGAUUGGGGUCUGCAACUCGACCCCAUGAAGUCGGAGUCGCUAGUAAUCGCAGAUCAGCAACGCUGCGGUGAAUACGUUCCCGGGCCUUGUACACACCGCCCGUCAAGUCACGAAAGUUGGUAACACCCGAAGCCGAUGGCCUAA